ensembl:lncRNA
UUCACGGCUCACUCGGCUCUGUGACUGCGCUGUGCCCAAAGAGCCACCAGGGGGCACUCUUCGCUGUUGAAUGCCGCCAGAUGGAACAGCUUUCCCGGGGCAACGGCUCUUAUCGAGGGGUAGCAGGCAGCCAAUGGCCCUCAGUAGAUAGCCGGCUGGUUGUCGAGCCGUGCCCAAUCGGGGCGCCCGCGGGUCACAUUUAGGGGCCCGUCUGGAGUCCUUUCAUGCUAAAUUGGAUGAAGGCAGAAGCACUGGAGCUGAGCGGAGUGGAGAUGUCACAGCGCUCUCCGGCCUGUGUGCGGAGGCCAGACGCUUCAGCUCCAAGAGGAGAGAAAGAUGAAUGAGUCCGGGUGCCGUGGAAUCCAGUGGCGGUGGAGAUUCUGUCCUUUUUAGCUUCCAUAACCGCAAUCCCACCUCCAAAAAGCAUUCAGCGCUGUAAAAAAAAACCCCACUAUUUUGAGCUACAACAAUACUUUGGGAUAUCAUACACUCACAAAAAGAAAGCAUGCUACAAACCAGCAAUAAGGACGGAUAAAUCCAUUUUUUUUUUUUUUAGAUAAGCUGUGUUACGUGUGGAAGAGGAACCUUUUUUCCCUCGACUCUGCUGCUGCGAUAGUGAGGAGCACCUGCACAUAGAUGAGAGGAGGGCGCCUCCCUGUAAGCAGGCAACAAAGCCAAUCUCCCACAGGACUCUUUCUGCGACGUCCCGCCUCUCUUUGGAGGUGUUGUACAGUCGCACAUCCGUCAGCAGAGGCCGUCCCAGUGUGUCUCGCAGCUCUGCACUGGUCCCAUGAAUAAAUCUGUGCCUUCCUGCGCCCUGAUGCCUCUGAGAAGCGACUUGCACGUCGUCUCACGCGGUAAUGACUCUCUUGUCAUUCAUUGUGCACACAGAAGAUCCCUCAGAGCGGUAAAACAUCUGCUCGGCGUCUGGAGUUUCCGCGGAGGAAAAAUCAGGGACAAUCAUAUUGUCUGUGUGUAAACACUCGAUAGAGC